UGGGAACCUUCCCUAUGGUUCGGAAUAGCUCAGGGGAAAACUUGAGGUAAUACCGGAUAAGCCCUUACGGGGAAAGAUUUAUCGCCAUUGGAUGGGCCCGCGUCGGAUUAGCUAGUUGGUGAGGUAACGGCUCACCAAGGCGACGAUCCGUAGCCGGUCUGAGAGGAUGAUCAGCCACACUGGGACUGAGACACGGCCCAGACUCCUACGGGAGGCAG
rnacentral:rRNA from 1 species